AUGGUUACAAAUCUGUGUUACUCAAUAAAAAUAGGUUUUAGAAGAUCCCAUUAAACAUUACGACAAACAAUAACAAUGUAAGAAAAUUAGGCCUGAAUUUUUUUAAUAAAUCAGAGGCCCCAAUCAAAUGUUUCUUGCGGAUGUGUUCAAAGCCGGCACUGGGCUGUUUACUUUACGGUUGUCAGUCCUAUACUAUAUGAUAUCUACAACAACGGACCUGAGGAUCGUUAUUUCUCUCCAUUCUGGAUAGAGCUCUUGAAGAACGUCGCAAGUUUUGGAGCAAUGUAUACUUAUUUUUUGAAUGAAUAACUCGACACCCUCCAAGAGGAAUCUGAAGAACAGUGUUAUUGUUUCUUUAGUGGAUUAGCUGACGAUACAUAAGCGCUCAAAAACAAAGCCCAUGUAGUUUGAAGAAACUUUAUAUUUCAUUAUCACUGUCUGCUACACACAUAAUCAUUUCUUUUUCUUCUUUAGAAACAUUGUUAAUGUAUCAAGUGAAACAAAAUAAAUAUUUUUUUUUAAACA